rnacentral:rRNA from 1 species
CAGCAGCCGCGGUAAUACGAAGGGUGCAAGCGUUACUCGGAAUUACUGGGCGUAAAGCGUGCGUAGGUGGUGGUUUAAGUCCGUUGUGAAAGCCCUGGGCUCAACCUGGGAAUUGCAGUGGAUACUGGGUCACUAGAGUGUGGUAGAGGAUAGUGGAAUUUCCGGUGUAGCAGUGAAAUGCGUAGAGAUCGGAAGGAACAUCUGUGGCGAAGGCGACUAUCUGGGCCAACACUGACACUGAGGCACGAAAGCGUGGGGAGCAAACAGGAUUAGAUACCCCGGUAGUCCCUGUCUCUUAUAU